AUUGAACGCUAACGGCAUGCUUAACACAUGCAAGUCGAACGGCAGCACAGUAGUAGCAAUACUAUGGGUGGCGAGUGGCGGACGGGUGAGUAAUACAUAGGAAUCUGCCUUCUAGUGGGGGAUAACCCGGGGAAACUCGGGCUAAUACCGCAUAAUCUCUACGGAGCAAAGUGUGGGACCUUCGGGCCAUACGCUAAAAGAUGAGCCUAUGUCGGAUUAGCUAGUUGGUGGGGUAAAGGCCUACCAAGGCAACGAUCCGUAGCUGGUCUGAGAGGAUGGUCAGCCACACUGGGACUGAGACACGGCCCAGACUCCUACGGGAGGCAACAGUGGGGAAUAUUGGACAAUGGGCGAAAGCCUGAUCCAGCAAUGCCGUGUGUGUGAAGAAGGCCUUCGGGUUGUAAAGCACUUUUAGUUGGGAAGAAAGGUUCAUGGCUAAUAUCCAUGAAUGCUGACGUUACCAACAGAAAAAGCACUGGCUAACUCUGUGCCAGCCGCCGCCGUAA
rnacentral:rRNA from 1 species